rnacentral:lncRNA from 1 species
CCUGCUUCAGGAAGCUGCUUGCAUUCUUGUCUAUAAGCUCAAAAACUAAGCAGGAUUCCCUGCAUGUUCUUUACUAGUAUUGUCAGUCAACGCCUCCUGCCUAUCACUAGCAGAACUGAGUUUUGGGACAAAUGCUGCUGAGCCUCCUGGGACCCAAUUUUGAGGAUGGCUUCCCCAAAUACGUGUGCCUUCAGCUUUCUCUGAUGCUUAACUCCUGUCUUUGGAUAGGACCAUCAGCCUUCCUAACAUGUGGCCAUCACCAACCAUUGCUGAACUGAUCGGAACCAGAUACACAAUGAGAGUGCUGGAAGGGGAAGGCGUCUCCCAGGGAGGCAGUGAUGGUGCCUCUUCAAGAGGAAAGAUCUGUUUCAGCUGCCGUAAGCAGAUGUUUCUGAAGUGGCCUUACAGCUGUUACCUCUGCAGCAGGUGAGCUGGUACAAAGGGACUGAACAGGGAGGGAGAAGAGUGAAAGAACAGUGCUGAAACACUCAGUAUUCAAACAGUUGGAGCACUUGGAUGGGAACGGGUUCCUUAGCCUUUCAGCUUUGCCUUACUACACAAGCCUGGCUGAAGCCUCUACAGCUGCAGAGGAGAUGGAAAAACUUGCCUCUGAAGUGGUAUCAAUAUUAACUCCUAGUAUUAAGCUAGCCAUAACCAAAUUUACUGUGCUAUUGGUUCUUCUCAGCAAUUAGUCCCUUCAUUUCGCUCUGUAGGUUGCAUUUUACUUCAGUCAAGGGCUUGAGAGGUUCUGGGAGAGGCUUUGCAGCAGAAUCUUCCAUUUAGGACUGGAAAAGCAGACUCCAGACCUUGUGACUGGGAAUGAUGUUAGACCCACAAGUAUCCACUUAUUUGUUUUUCUCAUGGGAGAGAAGAAUUUCAGGCUCAUUCAGGCUCACUUAAAUCUAUUUGAAGCAGCAGCAAAGCAUUGAAUUGGUUACAAGCAAACCACUGGGAGUUUAGUAACUGAUGGUGCUGGGUGAGAAGCAGUGGGUACUUGCAGAUAAAGCCUUCAAGCUAUGACUGCUGAUGUGCUUCAGCUGGCUAAAACUACCAUAAACAGG